GGUGGGUAGCUCAGUGGUUAGAGCACCUGGAAUAUAUUUUGGUGGGGGACCUGGGUUCAAAUCCCGGCUAUUAUCA